UAUGUGUAGACUGGUAGGACGAAAAGGGUUGUCUGUGAUUCGGAGCUAAUAAAGUCGAUGUGCGAUAUCAGUGAAUAGGCUAAAAGCAUACCAGACAGUAUCAAAAUGGAGCCGAGCGACGAAUUCGUACCAAUCCCAUGCAAGGAAGAAGAACUACAAAACGAUAGCGACAUAGAAAAGCAGCUUAUGGAAAUGCUCACUGAUAUCAAACACAGCCCACCGAUUUCUGAGCCAGUAGUAAUGAACAAGGUUAUUCCAAUUGAAAUCGAAAUGGAAAUCACAAAUAUCCGUGAAGAGAUGGAUCCGCAACGCAUCAUAUUAUCACAUUCACUUUCAAUGUCGCCGAGUGUGUUGAGGGCUAGAUCUGAUAACGAGCCAGUGGAAUAUCGAAUCAACCAAGACGUGCUAGUGAGGCAUCCGGAUGGUAGAUUAUACCUCGGCACAGUGAUAGGCAUGCACGAUAUGCAAUACCAAGUGCAGUACGACGACAACAGGGUCGAAUGGACAAACAAAGAUGCUUUAAACAAGCUGGACAGUGAGGAUGCUAGAAUGAAGGAUUCGAUCUGCACGAUUUGCGAUGAACGUAAAAGUACUGAAAGAACAAGGAAUUGUUGCUUUUGCCUUCGGGGCUUCCAUACAAGCUGUCUGCCGUUUGACGAACGGUUAAUAAUAAUACAAUCUAAGCCUUGGUUCUCUGAUUGGCACUGCAAAGAUUGUCAUGAGAAAGUUACGCCAGAAGAGCGUACAUUGGAUUACUUCGAAGAAAGAGAUGUUCUUAACAAACGUAUCCAGAUGCCUCGUAUGCCGAUAUGGCCUGAAGGGCUCGAGCCACUUACCGACAGAAGUCAGUUGCCUUACAUAUUCGAUCGGCUAAUCUGGGAUCCGUUACAUCGUGUUAACACCAGCGGACAAUACUGUUACUGUGGUACAUUUGGCCUCUGGAAGCGUGAAAUGAUCAUGUGUCGCCGCUGUAAACAGUGGUUCCAUAGUCACUGUAUAAAAAGUUUACAGUUUCCCAUAUUUCUGGGUGACCCAUUCUACUUUUUCCUGUGUUCUAUCUGCAACCAUGGGCACGAAUUCGUUCGACGACUGGAAAUCUCUUGGCGAGACCUCGUUCAUCUUGUCCUCUAUAACUUAAUCAUGCGCACCGAUAAUCGAUAUUUCAGUGCUGAGAAUGCAAUUGCUCCCUAUAUAGAGGAAAACCUACGUACACUGCAGCUGCCGGAUCAUAUUCUUCGAAUGACAGUGCCUAAUCGUCUAAAGUCCAUCAUAAAAACUCUGAGAAAGAACAAAGAGAGCUUUAAGCAUUUAAAAACGAUUACGGAAGGCAAUGAAUUUCGAGGUGUUUGGUCGUUAAAACACAACUUUCCACCCGAUUUGCAGUUAUCUGAUGUCCCACAGGAUAACAUCAUAACUGAACAGAGCCUGAAAAGUCUAGGAUCGAGUGACCGUAGUGUGCGAUUUAUUACUCGCUCUUGGAUAGAACGAAGCUUAGUAAACGACGUGGAAUGUCGUGAGCUGAUGCAAGGCUUGAAAUACGCGUGUGAUUCACCUUCCCCUACCGAUUUCGUUCGAGAAUCGAGCGAUACAGACAGUUCUCAAGACAGCGAGCUCAGCUCAUCCAGUCCAAUGCCAGAUUUAGACCAGGAAAUGGAGGCUGCGGCUAGCAACAUUAAACAGCGACGCGGUAAAAAAUCAAAUCCUCUUCUCAGGCAAAAGACGCGCGGUCGGAAGGCGACAUUGCUUGGAAGAAAUGGUCAUCAAGGCACGACACAAGAAAAUUUUCCUAUCCAGUUGCCCCCGCUGGAUGAGUUGAUUCCCCGUCCAACGAACUAUGAAGGCAAGAAUAAUCCCUUUCACCCGCUGUUUAUGCAAAAAAGCAACCGAGACGCUCCUCCGACCAUAUCGGAUUUAGUAAAACCAAGCAGUAGUUCUACUGCCCCACUUCCCUCUGGCUCAAAGAGGCGCAAGUGCUACAGGCAACCGAUUGAGUAUCAUUUACACAAUGACACUACGAAGGAGGAGCCAAAUAAAGCCUCAAUUAUAACUAAUUCGGAUACGUCCACAAAGCACAACAAUGAUUCGUCAGCCGUUGGUAAUUGUGAGGAAUUCGAAUUAUUCCCCCAAAAGACUGUUCCGACCCAUAUGCAUAAAUUGCGGGAAAGAACAUGUAAAAUUAAUUAUUCGCUUACACGCACCUAUAAAAGGCGCGCAUCAUUAUGUGCUGAAAGUGCAACCACUAGUAUUGAUAUGGGUGAUUCCCACGCCAUGCAUGGCCCUAAGAGGCGACAUUCAGUAUGCGUCAACAGUACUAAAAUAGCAGAGUCCCAACCUACUGGGAUGAUCACGAGGCGAAUGUCAAUGUGCGCAGAUUUGUUUAGGAACAACAAUGAAUCGAUCGAGUUGCACCUAAACCAGAUUUCGACCAAGGGAAGACCUAAGGCUGAAAGAUCAGUAAGUAACAUCCAAAUUCUUGAAAAAGACUAUACGCUUACACGUAACAACAAAAGGCGCCGUUCAUCAGUAAAUGAAGAUGGCACAACCAGCAAUACCGAUACGGGCGACUCCCAGGUCUGCAAAAAAAGGCGACAAUCAGUAUGCGAGACUAUGAACGAUUAUAAAAACGUAAAGUCCAACAAAUCUGAUCAGUACAAAAGGCGGAUGUCAGUCUGCGAAGAAAUGUUUCGAUGCAACAAUGUUACGAGCUGGUCGCAAAUAGCCAUUUUAACAAAGGAAAAAGCAAAGGCGGAAAGAUCAAUAACACACAAAUCCAAUCCACGCAUUUCAAGAACGGCCUUGAUAGGUAAACGUACAUUUCCAAACGGAGAAGUACAACACCUUAUCAGCCAAAGGAUGGCAUGAGGCUGGCGGUUUAACGGGAAGUAAAAUAGUAUCCCUACAAUUGGCUUUGCAAUCGCUAGUGUGAUUAAUCGGAAUGCGAAGUUGUGCUGGAUUAGAGUAAUCCCGCAUGAAAAAAUGCAUACAAGGUGGCCAGUUAAUGCCCAGUUUAACACGCUAGUUUUCUGGGCCUGCCAUAUAAAGUGAUCAGUUAAACAUUAACCGGCUACCAUAUAUGCCUAUUUCUAUGUGAGAUCACCCAUCUGGUAGCGAAUCCCCUCUAUUGACACAUAGGCACCAUUCGGGUCCGUUACUGUCGUAACAGGCCCACAGAUAAAGCAAUUUCGGGUCUGUUAAACAUGAACAUACUCGAAUUGACCGAAGGGCAAAUUCAGACGUUAACAGAUCCGAAUGGUUUCUCUUUGUCAAUAGGGCCUGUACCCUUUGCAAGUGACAUCGCUGGAUUCAUUCAUUUAACUGAUAUUUGGAUCUAAGGAAAAGAAUCUGUUUAACGAAUUUGAAUUCCCACAAAAGCACGCAAAUGCGAUACAAGAAUGAAGCUUUAAACAGCAGCCGAUACAUUUUCUUAUGACUUUAAGAAGGUAAAUGUCGUCUCCAGUGCAUAUUGAUGGUUCAAUUUAAAGAACAGUUAAAGGAGGG